AUUGAACGCUGGCGGCAUGCCUUACACAUGCAAGUCGAACGGCAGCACGGGAGCAAUCCUGGUGGCGAGUGGCGAACGGGUGAGUAAAGUAUCGGAACGUGCCCAGUCGUGGGGGAUAACGUAGCGAAAGUUACGCUAAUACCGCAUACGAUCUAUGGAUGAAAGCGGGGGAUCGCAAGACCUCGCGCGAUUGGAGCGGCCGAUAUCAGAUUAGGUAGUUGGUGGGGUAAAGGCUCACCAAGCCGACGAUCUGUAGCUGGUCUGAGAGGACGGCCAGCGACACUGGGACUGAGACACGGCCCAGACUCCUACGGGAGGCAGCAGUGGGGAAUUUUGGACAAUGGGCGAAAGCCUGAUCCAGCCAUGCCGCGUGCAGGAUGAAGGCCUUCGGGUUGUAAACUGCUUUUGUACGGAACGAAAAGGUUUGGGCUAAUAAGCUGAGCUCAUGACGGUACCGUAAGAAUAAGCACCGGCUAACUACGUGCCAGCCGCCGCCGUAA
rnacentral:rRNA from 1 species